AGAGACAGCAGCCGCCGCGGUAAAACGGAGGGCGCGAGCGUUAAUCGGAAUUACUGGGCCUAAAGCGUACGCAGGCGGUUUGUUAAGUCAGAUGUGAAAUCCCCGAGCCUAACUCGGGAACUGCAUUUGAAACUGGCAGGCUAGAGUCUCGUAGAGGGGGGUAGAAUUCCAGGUGUAGCGGUGAAAUGCGUAGAUAUGCGGAGGAACACCGAUGGCGAAGGCAGCCCCCUGGGCCAACACUGACGCUCAUGCACGAAAGCGUGGGGAGCAAACAAGAUUAGAUACCCGCGUAGUCCCUGUCUCUUAUAC
rnacentral:rRNA from 1 species